ACGACAUAGCGCGUAAAGAUAAUAAAAAUCAUCUGUGGUGAUAAUCUACACUCAGAUUGGCCUCCAUCAGGACCUGGGAGAAUCGUAGUCUCUCUCUCUCUCUCUCUCUCUCUCUCUCUCUCUCUCCCUCCCCCCCUCACACAUACAUACACGCGCGCUUGCUUCCACCUCACAGCCAACAUUUUUAGGAUGUGAUGUCGUGACCGGAGCGAAGCAAAUGUCACACGACUCACUGGCUGCUGUCAGUCUCCUCCACAAAAACGUCAGCGUUUUGAUGGCGUUUGGCUGAAGCUGGCUCUGCUUUGGCCGCAUGCUGCUGUGGAAGGUGGUCUGUAGAGAGCUGGGGCUUCGUCGGGCUCGCUCCAGCACCUGGACAGCUCCUUUCGCAGGGUUCCCCGCUGCGCUCGCCGGGGAAACCCUCGGCUGAGGAGCGGUAUCUGGAUCUGGAUCAGCGCACGCAACCCUCAACGAUCCCAGCCAGGAGGACACUGCGCUGAAAAUGGUUAUUUGAUCUCUUAAUUGUUGACAUUUAAAAGCUAAUAAGAUCUUGCAGAGCGAUGAUGCUUCUUGCAUUUGAGCUGUUUGGUUUUGCACUGAAACCGGAGCAGCGGCAGCGCUAGUGCUCGUCCAAUGCCAACCUGCUAAGGAUAGCUGCAGCCUACACACGCUGCAAGCCUGCUUCACUUACUCUGAUCACCACCGAGGGAGACAUUACCAUCAGCAAGGGGCCAGCGGAAGGCACAGUUACCCGCCAACAAUGUAAAUCUCAUAGAGGUUCAACAUGAAAGGAGCCUCAAUCAGGUGAAAGUGCAGCAGUAACAGGCAGAGCUGAGUGGAAACUUCGUGAUCAGCACCACAUCUCUCUCCUCUCCAUCACCCAGCAUCAUGGCUCAUGCUGAGGAGGUGGAGCAGGCAGGCCUGUCGGACUUGGAGAUCAUCUCCCAGCCGGUGGAGGAUGAGAACCAGUGCUUGGCUCCUUCAGUCCAGCUGGUGAGUUUUGGCUACAGAGAUCUGCCCCUGGCGGCUCUGGACAUCUCGCUGGCAGGCUCGCAGCUCCUUUCCAAUGCAGAUGAAGACGAAAACAGGG